GAUGAACGCUGGCGGCGUGCCUAAUACAUGCAAGUCGAGCGAACAGACGAGGCUCUUGCUCCUCUGACGUUAGCGGCGGACGGGUGAGUAACACGUGGAUAACCUCCCUAUAAGACUGGGAUAACUUCGGGAAACCGGAGCUAAUCCCGGAUAAUAUAUUGAACCGCAUGGUUCAAUAGUGAAAUACGGUUUUGCUGUCACUUAUAGAUGGAUCCGCGCCGCAUUAGCUAGUUGGUAAGGUAACGGCUUACCAAGGCAACGAUGCGUAGCCGACCUGAGAGGGGGAUCGGCCACACGGGAAAGGAGACACGGUCCAGACGACUACGGGAGGCAGCAGUAGGGAAUCGUACGCAAUGGGAGAAAGCAUGACGGAGCAAGGCGGCGUGAGUGAAGAAGGUCUUCGGAGCGUAAAAAUCUGUUAUGAGGGAAGAACAAAUGUGGAAGGAACUAUGCAGGGAGUGACGGUAACUAAUAAGAAAGCCACGGCUAACUACGUG
rnacentral:rRNA from 1 species